CUACGGAGGGUGCAAGCGUUACUCGGAAUCACUGGGCGUAAAGCGCGCGCAGGCGGCUAUUUAAGUUGGAUGUGAAAGCCUACGGCUCAACCGUAGAACUGCAUCCAAAACUAUUUAGCUAGAGUGUGGGAGAGGAAGAUGGAAUUAGUUGUGUAGGGGUAAAAUCCGUAGAGAUAACUAGGAAUACCAAGAGCGAAGGCAAUCUUCUGGAACACUACUGACGCUGAGGCGCGAAAGCGUGGGGAGCAAACGGGAUUAGAAACCCGAGUAGUCC
rnacentral:rRNA from 1 species